rnacentral:rRNA from 1 species
CGGGGUGCAGCAGGCGCGAAAACUUUACAAUGCCGGCAACGGCAAUUAGGGGACCUCGAGUGCCAGGUUACAAAUCUGGCUGUCGUGAUGCCUAAAAAGCAUUGCAUAGCAAGGGCCGGGCAAGACCGGUGCCAGCCGCCGCGGUAACACCGGCGGCUCGAGUGGUAAUCGUUAUUAUUGGGUCUAAAGGGUCUGUAGCCGGCCGGAUAAGUCUCUUGGGAAAUCCAGCAGCUCAACUGUUGGGCUUUCAGGAGAUACUGUCUGGCUCGAGGCCGGGAGAGGUGAGAGGUACUUCAGGGGUAGGGGUGAAAUCUUGUAAUCCUUGAAGGACCACCAGUGGCGAAGGCGUCUCACCAGAACGGACCUGACGGCAAGGGACGAAAGCUAGGGGCACGAACCGGAUUAGAUACCCGGGUAGUCCUAGCCGUAAACGAUACUCGCUAGGUGUCGGCCACGGUGCGACCGUUGUCGGUGCCGUAGGGAAGCCGUGAAGCGAGCCACCUGGGAAGUACGGCCGCAGGGCUGAAACUUAAAGGAAUUGGCGGGGGAGCAC